rnacentral:rRNA from 1 species
GACGAACGCUGGCGGCGUGCCUAACACAUGCAAGUCGAACGGGAUCAGGGGCAACUCUGGUUCAGUGGCGGACGGGUGCGUAACACGUGAGGAACAUGACUUUCGGCGGGGGAUAGCCGGCCCAACGGCCGGGUAAUACCGCGUACGACCUCUCGGGGACAUCCCCGGUUGGUGAAAGCAGCAAUGCACCGAAAGAGUGCCUCGCGGCCUAUCAGCUAGUUGGUGGGGUAACGGCUCACCAAGGCGACGACGGGUAGCUGGUCUGAGAGGAUGGCCAGCCACAUUGGGACUGAGACACGGCCCAGACUCCUACGGGAGGCAGCAGUGGGGAAUAUUGCGCAAUGGGCGAAAGCCUGACGCAGCGACGCCGCGUGUGGGAUGACGGCCUUCGGGUUGUAAACCACUGUCGGGAGGGACGAAUGCGCCGCAAGGCGAGUGACGGUACCUCCAAAGGAAGCACCGGCUAACUCCGUGC